GUCCACGCUGUAAACGAUGAGCACUAGGUGUCGUGGGUAUUGACCCCCGCGGUGCCGACGCUAACGCAUUAAGUGCUCCGCCUGGGGACUACGGCCGCAAGGUUAAAACUCAAAGGAAUUGACGGGGGCCCCGCACAAGCGGUGGAGCAUGUGGUUCAAUUCGACGCAACGCGAAGAACCUUACCUGGGCUAGACAACGGAGGACCGCUCCAGAGAUGGGGCCUUCCCUUCGGGGACCUCCGGUUCAGGUGCUGCAUGGCUGUCGU
rnacentral:rRNA from 1 species